rnacentral:rRNA from 1 species
UGCAAGUCGUGCGAGAAAGUAUCUUCGGAUAUGAUUAGAGCGGCGGACGGGUGAGUAACGCGUAGGAAUCUACCUAGUAGAAGGGGAUAGCCCGAGGAAACUCGGAUUAAUACCGUAUACCUCCUUCGGGAGAAAGAAGGCCUCUCUUUGAAGCUUUCGCUACUAGAUGAGCCUGCGUAAGAUUAGCUUGUUGGUGAGGUAAAGGCUCACCAAGGCGACGAUGGGUAGGGGGCCUGAGAGGGUGAUCCCUCACACUGGUACUGAGACACGGACCAGACUCC